CCACCACUUUAUUAAUAUCUAGAUCUAGACAUGAAGAGAAUCUACAUUGUGAACAGAAUCUACCCUAUUGAGGCAUCAAAAGACAAUCUCCUGGCUUAAUAUAAGGUUUGCUAACUUGUCCUGUCCGUACACUAGUACUUGUCUAUAUCACUAAUGACGCACACCUCUGGAUCACAGAUCAUACUGUUUGACAUAGAAACAACGGGUAUCGAUAGAGAGGUGGAUCAAGUUUGUCAAUUAGCAGCAGUCGCCUUGACCCGGCAGGAGCACGAAAAUGAAGAUGAUGUUUUCAAUGCUUAUGUGCUACCCACUCGCUCAUUCCAUGGUAAAGCAACUGAAGUUAAUGGGUUCACAAUCGAAAAAAAGAGCCUUCGUAAAGAAGGAAAAACACUACCCACUAUAAGCCUAGAAAAAGCGUACAAGACAUUUUUUGAGUACCUGAAGCUGAAAACUAACCCAGGAGAUAAACUGAUGUUGGUUGGGUACAACAGUAAACAGUUUGACAUGGUGUUUUUGAGACGUGAUUGUCACAAGUUUGGAAUUCCAGUGGAAGUAGAAGGAAGACAACUUCAUUUUGCAGAUGCUUUCCUUUUUUUAUUGGCGGUUCGAAAUUCUGUACUGCCUGGAAUUGGCAACAGAAUGACUCAACAAUCCGUACACCAGUACCUGUGUCCUGGGAUUCAUCGUGUCUGUCAUGAUGCUGUAGCAGAUGUGUUGAACCUUAGAGACAUUCUGCUAUCUCCAAAGCAGGGGCGGAUCCAGGAUUUAAGGAAGGGGGGUUCUUAUAGUACUUUGCGCGGACAAGAGGUUCACUCGGCGCACAGCGCCGAAAUUGUUGACCACGCCCCUUUUAAAGUACCACGCCCACUAAUUAACCCUCAUGUUCUCCCUCAUGAUUUAUAAACAGGAGAUGGUUGUGACUGGAGGAGAGAUAGUAGUGGUCCCCAGUGGAAAGACAGAGACGGUGGUGGCUGGUGAAGAGGAGACUUGGCUAUAGACUUGUAGAACUUGACCAUCAAUAGAUCUAUAUUAACGAUUAUAGCAAUUAUACAUGUAAGUAUGCAGUGUCAUUCAAUAUUGCAGUGUCAUGCACUCUCCCUUACCUGAAACUUUCCUCUUCUUACACCAGGAGUCAAGGAUUCAUGGCUAGAUAUAAUAAUAUUAUCGCUUGACAUGAUUGACCACAGUGGAAAUUAAUGUGGCUGCAGUAGCCAGCCCCACCCUCUUGUUAUGUAUAUAGAGAGAACCAGCCCCACCCUUUUAUUAUACAAAGAGAAGAGAACCAGCCCCACCCUUUUAUUAAGCAGAGAGGACGUACUUUGUACGACUUUGUCACGACAGUACAGUUAGCUAGCUAGCUAAUAUAUACUAGCUGGAAGGGUAGUUCGUACGAACCCAACGAACUACCUCUGGAUCCGCCCCUGCAAAGGUACCGCUGGAACAGCUAAGCCAACACGAAUUCAACUGCUUCCCUAAGAAGAGGCCAGGGACAGUAGCUCAGAUCGAGACCCCAUCAAAAGAAAAACUUUGUUCAAGUACAUUACCUGAGAAACUUAUUGCAGAGAUUUCAUCAACUUUUUUAUCAACACCAAACCUGCAGUCACUCAAACUCAAGAGACUUGUAUAGUUAGUACAAUCUUACAAUCUCUACAACUCUAUACUUAAUACUUUUUUUACGAACAUUAAAACUCUAUUGUUUGGUACAUGUA